rnacentral:rRNA from 1 species
UACAGGGGGUGCAAACGUUGCUCGGAAUUAUUGGGCGUAAAGCGCACGUAGGCGGACUACUAAGUCAGGGGUGAAAUCCCGGGGCUCAACCCCGGAACUGCCUUUGAUACUGGUAGUCUCGAGUCCGGAAGAGGUGAGUGGAAUUCCGAGUGUAGAGGUGAAAUUCGUAGAUAUUCGGAGGAACACCAGUGGCGAAGGCGGCUCACUGGUCCGGUACUGACGCUGAGGUGCGAAAGCGUGGGGAGCAAACAGG